rnacentral:rRNA from 1 species
AGCAGCCGCGGUAAUUCCAGCUCCAAUAGCGUAUAUUAAAGUUGUUGCAGUUAAAAAGCUCGUAGUUGAAUUUCGGGAUCAGUACGCUGGUCGUGCCUCCGGUAUGUACUGGUGUCACUGGUUCCUCCCUUCUGAAGAACCAUCAUGCCAUUCACUUGGUGUGGUGGGAAAUCAGGACUGUUACUUUGAAAAAAUUAGAGUGUUUAAAGCAGGCUCACGCUUGAAUACAUUAGCAUGGAAUAAUGAAAUAGGACGUUGAUCCUAUUUUGUUGGUUUCUAGGAUUGACGUAAUGAUUAAUAGGGAUAGUUGGGGGCAUUAGUAUUCAAUUGUCAGAGGUGAAAUUCUUGGAUUUAUUGAAGACUAACUACUGCGAAAGCAUUUGCCAAGGAUGUUUUCAUUAAUCAAGAACGAAAGUUAGGGGAUCGAAGACGAUCAGAUACCGUCGUAGU